rnacentral:rRNA from 1 species
CAAGCGUUAUCUGGAAUGAUUGGGCGUAAAGCGUCUGUAGGUGGCUUUUCAAGUCCGCUGUCAAAUCCCAGGGCUCAACCCUGGACAGGCGGUGGAAACUACCAAGCUGGAGUCCGGUAGGGGCAGAGGGAAUUUCUGGUGGAGCGGUGAAAUGCAUUGAGAUCGGAAAGAACACCAACGGCGAAGGCACUCUGCUGGGCCGACACUGACACUGAGACACGAAAGCUAGGGGAGCAAAUGGG